GUGGGUAUAGCUGAGUGGUAGAGCACUUGCUUAGAACGAGGUCCUGGGUUCAAUCCCCAGUACCCUCU
rnacentral:tRNA from 1 species